rnacentral:rRNA from 1 species
GCUGUCUCAUUAUAAAUAAAAAUUUAAUUUAAUUUUUAAGUUAAAAAGCUUAAAUUUUUUUGAAGGACGAGAAGACCCUAUAGAGUUUUAUAAUUUUUUUUAAUAGUAAUAUUUAAUUAAUUUUUUAUUAUUUAAAAUUAUUUUAUUGGGGCGAUAAAAAAAUUUAUUAAACUUUUUUUUUGUUUUACAUUAAUUUAUGAAUUUUUGAUCCUUUUAUU